rnacentral:tRNA from 1 species
GGUCCUAUCGUCUAAUGGCUCAGGACAUGUCCCUUUCACGGACAAAAUACGGGUUCGAUUCCCGUUGGGACUA